GACCUCGAAUCAGGUAGGAAUACCCGCUGAACUUAAGCAUAUCAAUAAGCGGGAGGAAA
rnacentral:rRNA from 1 species